rnacentral:SRP_RNA from 1 species
GCUGGGUGUGGUAGUGUGCUCCUGUGGUCCUAGUUACUUUGGAGGCUGAGGUGGGAGGAUUGUUUGAGUCCAGGAGGUUGAGGCUGCAGUGAGCUAUUGUUGAGCUACUGCACUCCAGCCUGGGUAACAAAGUGAGAUCCUAUCUCUA